rnacentral:rRNA from 1 species
UGGGGAAUAUUGGACAAUGGGCGCAAGCCUGAUCCAGCCAUGCCGCGUGAGUGAUGAAGGCCCUAGGGUUGUAAAGCUCUUUCGACGGUGAAGAUAAUGACGGUAGCCGUAGAAGAAGCCCCGGCUAACUUCGUGCCAGCAGCCGCGGUAAUACGAAGGGGGCUAGCGUUGUUCGGAAUUACCGGGCGUAAAGCGCUCGUAGGCGGAUCGAUCAGUCAGGGGUGAAAUCCCAGGGCUCAACCCUGGAACUGCCUUUGAUACUGUCAAUCUAGAGUCCGGAAGAGGUGAGUGGAAUUGCGAGUGUAGAGGUGAAAUUCGUAGAUAUUCGCAGGAACACCAGUGGCGAAGGCGGCUCACUGGUCCGGUACUAACGCUGAGGAGCGAAAGCGUGGGGAGCAAA